UACGGGGGGGGGCAAGCGUUGUCCGGAAUUACUGGGCGUAAAGAGCUCGUAGGUGGUUUGUCGCGUUGUUCGUGAAAACUCACAACUCAAUUGUGGGCGUGCGGGCGAUACGGGCAGACUGGAGUACUGCAGGGGAGACUGGAAUUCCUGGUGUAGCGGUGGAAUGCGCAGAUAUCAGGAGGAACACCGGUGGCGAAGGCGGGUCUCUGGGCAGUGAACUGACGCUGAGGAGCGAAAGCGUGGGGAGCGAACA
rnacentral:rRNA from 1 species